GAUGAACGCUGGCGGCGUGCCUAAUACAUGCAAGUCGAGCGAUGCGGGGACGGGUGAGUAACACGUGGUAAACCUCCUAUACGACUGGGAUAACUUCGGGAAACCCUUGGUAAACCUGCUACUUAUAUAUGGAUCCUCGCUGCAUUAGCGAGUUGGUAAGGAAAUGGCUAACUAAGGCAACGAGGCAUAGCCGACCUGAGAGGGUGAUCGGCCACACUGGAACUGAGACACGGCCCAGACUCCUACGGUAGGCAGCAGUAGGGAAUCUUCCGCAAUGGGCGAAAGCCUGACGGAGCAACGCCGCGUGAGUGAUGAAGGUCUUCGGAUCGUAAAACUCUGUUAUUAGGGAAGCGGUACCUAAUCAGAAAGCCACGGCUAACUACGUGCCAGCAGCCGCGGUAAUAC
rnacentral:rRNA from 1 species